rnacentral:rRNA from 1 species
GACGAACGCUGGCGGCGUGCUUAACACAUGCAAGUCGAACGGUGAAGCGCCUUCCUUUUUGGUGGGUGUGGAUGAGUGGCGAACGGGUGAGUAACACGUGAGUAACCUGCCCCCUUCUUCUGGAUAACCGCAUGAAAGUGUGGCUAAUACGGGAUAUUCUGGGUCUGUCGCAUGAUGGGUCUGGGAAAGAUAUUGUUUCGGUGGGGGAUGGGCUCGCGGCCUAUCAGCAUGUUGGUGGGGUGAUGGCCUACCAAGGCGGUGACGGGUAGCCGGCCUGAGAGGGUGGACGGUCACACUGGGACUGAGACACGGCCCAGACUCCUACGGGAGGCAGCAGUGGGGAAUAUUGCACAAUGGGCGCAAGCCUGAUGCAGCGACGCCGCGUGAGGGAUGGAGGCCUUCGGGUUGUGAACCUCUUUCGCCAGUGAAGCAGGCCUGCCUCGUUUGUGGGUGGGUUGACGGUAGCUGGAUAAGAAGCGCCGGCUAACUACGUG